rnacentral:rRNA from 1 species
AUUGAACGCUGGCGGCAGGCCUAACACAUGCAAGUCGAACGGUAACAGGAAGCAGCUUGCUGCUUUGCUGACGAGUGGCGGGCGGGUGAGUAAUGUCUGGGAAACUGCCUGAUGGAGGGGGAUAACUACUGGAAACGGUAGCUAAUACCGCAUAACGUCGCAAGACCAAAGAGGGGGACCUUCGGGCCUCUUGCCAUCGGAUGUGCCCAGAUGGGAUUAGCUAGUAGGUGGGGUAACGGCUCACCUAGGCGACGAUCCCUAGCUGGUCUGAGAGGAUGACCAGCCACACUGGAACUGAGACACGGUCCAGACUCCUACGGGAGGCAGCAGUGGGGAAUAUUGCACAAUGGGCGCAAGCCUGAUGCAGCCAUGCCGCGUGUAUGAAGAAGGCCUUCGGGUUGUAAAGUACUUUCAGCGGGGAGGAAGGGAGUAAAGUUAAUACCUUUGCUCAUUGACGUUACCCGCAGAAGAAGCACCGGCUAACUCCGUG